rnacentral:lncRNA from 1 species
GGAUGCCGGCCAAUACCCGAGCACAUUUUUGAGGUUAUUGGCAAUUUUGUAACUUCAAUUCUUUUUAAUUUUUUUGUGUUUAUUUUUAACUUAUUUUUUAAGAAGUAUACAAAAUUUGAAUUAAGAUCAAUAGUUUGUUCAUUAGUAAUUGAGGUUUAAAUCUAUUAUAGGAAUUAUUAGGAUUUGGUUUAGAGUUUGGUUAGGGUUUGGAUUAGGGUUUGAUUUAGGGUUUAGGAUUUGGUUAGGAUUUGGUUUAGGAUUUAGGAUUUGGAUUAGGAUUUGGUUUAGGAUUUGGCUAGAAUUUUAUUUAGGAUUUAGGAUUUGGUUAGGAUUUUAUUUAGGGUUUAAGAUUUGGUUAGGGUUUGAUUUAGGAUUUAGGAUUUAGUUUAGAAUUUGGUGAGGAUUUGGUUUAGGAUUUGAUUGGAGUUUGGUGUAAGGUUUGUUUAGGAUUUGAUUUAGGAUUUAGGAUUUUAUUAAGAUUUAAGAUUCAAUUAGUUUUGGCCUAAAGUUUGAAUGAAGUUUAAUAGGAUUUUCACUAGAAUUAAGUUAAGAUUGAAUUGAGAUGUAUUUGAGUGAUAUUUGUGAUCCUUCUAAUAUUUCUUUAAGAAUUCUUAUUGUUUCUUUGAAAUUUGUUUGAGAUUUUUUUGAAUUUGAUUAA